rnacentral:rRNA from 1 species
UACGAGGGGGCAAGCGUUGUUCGGAAUUAUUGGGCGUAAAGGGCGCGUAGGCGGCUUGGUAUGUCGGGUGUGAAAUCCCCGGGCUCAAACCUGGGAACUGCAUCCGAAACUGCCUUGCUCGAGUAUGGGAGAGGGAAGUGGAAUUUCCGGUGUAGCGGUGAAAUGCGUAGAUAUCGGAAGGAACAUCAGUGGCGAAGGCGACUUCCUGGACCAAUACUGACGCUCAGGUGCGAAAGCGUGGGG